CUGGAGGGCAUGAAAACAGGCUCUUCAAGCUCUAGAGCUUUGUUGAUACUCGCCUCCUAUAGUAAAACUGUGGUUAGAACCGGCCAAUUUGUUUAAGUCUAAUUUGGCCUACAAACACCACAGACAUGC
rnacentral:snoRNA from 1 species